rnacentral:rRNA from 1 species
UACGUAGGGGGCUAGCGUUGUCCGGAAUCAUUGGGCGUAAAGCGCGUGUAGGCGGUUCGGUAAGUCCGCCGUGAAAGUCGGGGGCUCAACCCCUCGGAUGCCGGUGGAUACUGUCGGACUAGAGUACGGAAGAGGCGAGUGGAAUUCCUGGUGUAGCGGUGAAAUGCGCAGAUAUCAGGAAGAACACCGGUGGCGAAGGCGGGUCUCUGGGCAACUACUGACGCUGAGGAGCGAAAGCGUGGGGAGCAAACAGG